rnacentral:rRNA from 1 species
GACGAACGCUGGCGGCGUGCUUAACACAUGCAAGUCGAACGGAAAGGCCCUGCUUGUGGGGGGUGCUCGAGUGGCGAACGGGUGAGUAACACGUGAGUAACCUGCCCUUGACUUUGGGAUAACUUCAGGAAACUGGGGCUAAUACCCGAUAGGAGCUCCUGCUGCGUGGUGGGGGUUGGAAAGUUUCGGCGGUUGGGGAUGGACUCGCGGCUUAUCAGCUUGUUGGUGGGGUAGUGGCUUACCAAGGCUUUGACGGGUAGCCGGCCUGAGAGGGUGACCGGCCACAAUGGGACUGAGAGAGGGCGCAGACUCCUACGGGAGGCAGCAGUGGGGAACAUCGCACAAUGGGCGGAAGCCUGAUGAAGCAACGCCGCGUGCGGGAUGACGGCCUUCGGGUUGUAAACCGCUUUCGCCUGUGACGAAGCGUGAGUGACGGUAAUGGGUAAAGAAGCACCGGCUAACUACGUG